rnacentral:ncRNA from 2 species
AAAUUAAAUAAACUUAUAGGUUUACAUUUUGUAAUUAAAAGGGAAACAGGUGAAAAACCUGUACAACCCCCGUUACUGUAAGUGCCAAAUAAAUUUAUUUAUCAUUAUUCCACUGGUUGUAUAACUGGGAAGGAGAUAAAUAAAGGCAUAAGUCAGGAUACCUGCCUAUAUGUAGGAUGUUGC